GACGAACGCUGGCGGCGUGCUUAACACAUGCAAGUCGAACGGAAAGGCCCUGCUUUUGUGGGGUGCUCGAGUGGCGAACGGGUGAGUAACACGUGAGUAACCUGCCCUUGACUUUGGGAUAACUUCAGGAAACUGGGGCUAAUACCGGAUAGGAGCUCCUGCUGCAAGGUGGGGGUUGGAAAGUUUCGGCGGUUGGGGAUGGACUCGCGGCUUAUCAGCUUGUUGGUGGGGUAGUGGCUUACCAAGGCUUUGACGGGUAGCCGGCCUGAGAGGGUGACCGGCCACAUUGGGACUGAGAUACGGCCCAGACUCCUACGGGAGGCAGCAGUGGGGAAUAUUGCACAAUGGGCGGAAGCCUGAUGCAGCAACGCCGCGUGCGGGAUGACGGCCUUCGGGUUGAAAACCGCUUUCGCCUGUGACGAAGCGUGAGUGACGGUAAUGGGUAAAGAAGCACCGGCUAACUACGUG
rnacentral:rRNA from 1 species